AGUGAACGCUGGCGGUAGGCCUAACACAUGCAAGUCGAACGGCAGCACAGUAAGAGCUUGCUCUUACGGGUGGCGAGUGGCGGACGGGUGAGGAAUACAUCGGAAUCUACUUUUUCGUGGGGGAUAACGUAGGGAAACUUACGCUAAUACCGCAUACGACCUACGGGUGAAAGCAGGGGAUCUUCGGACCUUGCUCGAUUGAAUGAGCCGAUGUCGGAUUAGCUAGUUGGCGGGGUAAAGGCCCACCAAGGCGACGAUACGUAGCUGGUCUGAGAGGAUGAUCAGCCACACUGGAACUGAGACACGGUCCAGACUCCUACGGGAGGCAGCAGUGGGGAAUAUUGGACAAUGGGCGCAAGCCUGAUCCAGCCAUACCGCGUGGGUGAAGAAGGCCUUCGGGUUGUAAAGCCCUUUUGUUGGGAAAGAAAAGCAGCAGGUUAAUACCCCGCUGUUCUGACGGUACCCAAGGAAUAAGCACCGGCUAACUUCGUG
rnacentral:rRNA from 1 species